GGUGGUUCUCGGGUGACGCACCCAGAAUCGGGCUUCCUCCUCUCUGGUUCUGGGGUGCGUCACCCGAGAACUGCC
rfam:Myotis davidii contig40850, whole genome shotgun sequence.